UGGCGCUCUCGGGAUAGGCCUGGGAGCACGCCUCUUUGAGUGUCGAUUCAAUCAAACUCAGCGACCUGCUCUUUAUUGGUGCGGGAUGCAGCUGAACAUUGAGUGUCUCACGAAAGUGUGUCACUUUAAGCGGAGCGAGUCUCCUUUCUUCUAGCACUUGCUAAGCUUCGGCUCGGCAUAGCCUAGGAUGAGUUUUGCCCUGCAAACUUGUGCCUGCUAGUGAUGCGGAUAAUCACAUCUGUGUGUUCCAUCAUGACUGGUAGGAGCGAGCUUCUAAGCAAACGGCUUUAGUGUCCGGCUCUUUCUUGUGCGAACCUGCAAGACGACUGUGAAGACAGAUCGGGGUCCAGCAGCAAUGCUCGGACUUCAACAACCUUUUGACUUAGACCUCAAAUGAAGCGAGACAACCCGCUGAACUUAAGCAUAUCAUUAAGCGGAGGAAAAGAAACUAACAAGGAUGCCCUUAGUAACGGCGAGUGAAGCGGGCAAAGCUCAAACUGAAAAUCGGGUCUCCACGCGGGGAUUCGAAUUGUAGUCUAUAGACGCAGCGUCAGUAGUGACCCAGGUAUAAAUCUUUUGAAACAAGGUAUCAUAGAGGGUGAGAAUCCC
rnacentral:rRNA from 1 species